UUUCUCCCCAGCCUUAGAGAGAGAGAUGGACCUGGCUGCCUAGGAGUGCAGGGGGUACCGCACCUCCUGGGCUGUGGCCCGAUAGAAGGCCAAAGCAUGUCCAAACCCCCCUUGCCAGUGAUGAGUGGAUUACAGACUGCAGUCUGCCCUAGUGAGCGGAGUCUAGAUGAUGACUGGCAAUAGCCACUGAGGCAAGGUGGGGAUAGAGGUCUGGGUGUUCUCUGGGGAGGGGAGACCCAGAGACUGUGAGGGUACUGAAGAGGGCAGAACCCUGAGGAGAGAAAAGACAGGGCUUGGCUGUAAUGCAAAUGACGAUGAUGGACAGAGACACGCAUCCGCUCUUCUGGGCUCUCCAGCUCUCACGCUGAGGACUUGUCUACACAAACAUAGAGUUUGCGGCAAGCUGGGAUAUGGGUCUCCCCUGCACUAGCCUGCCGUGGACUCACUGUCCAUAGGGAUCCUGCUGAUUUGCAUUAACAAUUUGUUCAUGCACUUUGAGGUACUUCUGUUUCAAAGCGGUUAAGAGCUGGUGUAAAAAGCUGUUAGAGGAAGCUAUUUGCAGUGCUCAGUUUUAUAGGUCCUACAAAAUCCAGGAACUAGGCUACAUAUUCUUGAACACCAUUUACUGGCAACUUAUCUGUUAACCCCCUACUUACACAUAUGCAGACCAAGAGCACUCCUGUGUCACCCGUCUCUAGGGCAUAAGGAUGUCAACCUGCCCUUUGUGUGGAGAGAAGAAGCUCUGGCACCAGCUGCUCAAUGUGGGAGCCUGGAUUGGAGCAACCUGCAUGGAACUGAGGGAGGCAUUUGGAGAAGCCCAGGAAGUCAGUCUGCAUGCAUGUGGCUGGAAUGCUAGCUCCAGAGACAGCCCGUCUGUAGAUCUUUUAAUAAAGAGCCAGUUUAGUUUUAGAAA